GACCGGGGGGGGGGGUGCCUAAUACAUGCAAGUAGAACGCUGAAGAGAGGAGCUUGCUCUUCUUGGAUGAGUUGCGAACGGGUGAGUAACGCGUAGGUAACCUGCCUUGUAGCGGGGGAUAACUAUUGGAAACGAUAGCUAAUACCGCAUAACAAUGGAUGACACAUGUCAUUUAUUUGAAAGGGGCAAUUGCUCCACUACAAGAUGGACCUGCGUUGUAUUAGCUAGUAGGUGAGGUAACGGCUCACCUAGGCGACGAUACAUAGCCGACCUGAGAGGGUGAUCGGCCACACUGGGACUGAGACACGGCCCAGACUCCUACGGGAGGCAGCAGUAGGGAAUCUUCGGCAAUGGGGGCAACCCUGACCGAGCAACGCCGCGUGAGUGAAGAAGGUUUUCGGAUCGUAAAACUCUGUUGUAAGUCAAGAACGAGUGUGAGAGUGGAAAGUUCACACUGUGACGGUAGCUUACCAGAAAGGGACGGCUAACUACGUGCCAGCAGCCGCGGUAAUACGUAGGUCCCGAGCGUUGUCCGGAUUUAUUGGGCGUAAAGCGAGCGCAGGCGGUUUGAUAAGUCUGAAGUUAAAGGCUGUGGCUCAACCAUAGUUCGCUUUGGAAACUGUCAAACUUGAGUGCAGAAGGGGAGAGUGGAAUUCCAUGUGUAGCGGUGAAAUGCGUAGAUAUAUGGAGGAACACCGGUGGCGAAAGCGGCUCUCUGGUCUGUAACUGACGCUGAGGCUCGAAAGCGUGGGGAGCGAACAGGAUUAGAUACCCUGGUAGUCCACGCCGUAAACGAUGAGUGCUAGGUGUUGGAUCCUUUCCGGGAUUCAGUGCCGCAGCUAACGCAUUAAGCACUCCGCCUGGGGAGUACGACCGCAAGGUUGAAACUCAAAGGAAUUGACGGGGGCCCGCACAAGCGGUGGAGCAUGUGGUUUAAUUCGAAGCAACGCGAAGAACCUUACCAGGUCUUGACAUCCCGAUGCUAUUUCUAGAGAUAGAAAGUUACUUCGGUACAUCGGUGACAGGUGGUGCAUGGUUGUCGUCAGCUCGUGUCGUGAGAUGUUGGGUUAAGUCCCGCAACGAGCGCAACCCCUAUUGUUAGUUGCCAUCAUUCAGUUGGGCACUCUAGCGAGACUGCCGGUAAUAAACCGGAGGAAGGUGGGGAUGACGUCAAAUCAUCAUGCCCCUUAUGACCUGGGCUACACACGUGCUACAAUGGUUGGUACAACGAGUUGCGAGUCGGUGACGGCAAGCUAAUCUCUUAAAGCCAAUCUCAGUUCGGAUUGUAGGCUGCAACUCGCCUACAUGAAGUCGGAAUCGCUAGUAAUCGCGGAUCAGCACGCCGCGGUGAAUACGUUCCCGGGCCUUGUACACACCGCCCGUCACACCACGAGAGUUUGUAACACCCGAAGUCGGUGAGGUAACCUUUUGGAGCCAGCCGCCUAAAGGUGGGAAUAAAGGG
rnacentral:rRNA from 1 species